rnacentral:rRNA from 1 species
UACGGGGGGGGCAAGCGUUGUUCGGAAUUACUGGGCGUAAAGGGCUCGUAGGCGGCCAACUAAGUCAGACGUGAAAUCCCUCGGCUUAACCGGGGAACUGCGUCUGAUACUGGAUGGCUUGAGAUUGGGAGAGGGAUGCGGAAUUCCAGGUGUAGCGGUGAAAUGCGUAGAUAUCUGGAGGAACACCGGUGGCGAAGGCGGCAUCCUGGACCAACACUGACGCUGAGGCACGAAGGCCAGGGGAGCAAACGGG